CAUACGGCUCAGUAACACGUAGUCAACCUGCCCUGGAGACGCGGACAAUCGCGGGAAACUGCGGCUAAUACGCGGUAGAUGACCUCCUCUGGAAGGAGAGGUCGUCCAAAGGGCUGCACCGGUAUGCUCGGUGCAUUCGCUCCAGGAUGGGACUGCGGCCGAUCAGGCUGUUGGCGGGGUAAUGGCCCACCAAACCUGUAACCGGUACGGGCUUUGAGAGAAGGAGCCCGGAGAUGGGCACUGAGACAAGGGUCCAGGCCCUACGGGGCACAUCAGGCGCGAAAACUUCGCAAUGCGCGAAAGCGUGACGAGGCUAGUCCGAGUGCUUCCCGCUGAGGGGAGCUUUUCUUUGCUGUAAAUAGGCAGGGGAAUAAGGGGAGGGCAAGCCUGGUGUCAGCCGCCGCGGUAAUACCAGCUCCUCGAGUGGUCGGGGCGAUUAUUGGGCCUAAAGCAUCCGUAGCCGGUUCCGUAGGUCCUCUGUUAAAUCCAACAGCUCAACUGUUGACCUGCAGAGGAUACCGCGGGACUAGGAGGCGGGAGAGGCGGACGGUACUCCGCGUGUAGGGGUAAAAUCCUUUGAUCCGCGGAAGACCACCAGUGGCGAAGGCGGUCCGCCAGAACGCGCUCGACGGUGAGGGAUGAAAGCUGGGGGAGCGAACC
rnacentral:rRNA from 1 species